AAAAAAAAAAAAAAAAAUCAUUUUGGAAUUGUUGAUUUCAACUCACAUUCUUAUUCUAUCAACUAUGCAUAUAUCUUAUGCGGUCACUAGUGCACAGAGAAUUCAAGAUGAGCAAAAUCCUAAUAUGUUUUGCAAAUGUAAAAAAUCAAGAAAUUGUUUGAGAGCACCACAAUCAUGGAUCAAUAAGUUAUUUGUGGGUUCAAUCUAAAAGUCUUCUUUUUGAGAUUAUGUCAAAACUUGCAAAACUUUGCUCCAUUCUUCAUGACAUUGAAGCCACCACAAGUCAUUUAACUCAAGGGAUUUCUUUUGCUCAAGAGAUUGCAAAAUCUGGACCCAUCUUAAUUGAAGAAAUGACCAUGCAUUUGAAAUGGGUAGGUAACAUGUACACCAUAGUUUUACGGCGUGAAGCGAUGGUGAAAGAUCUUAAAAAAGAAAUCCAUCGGGCUCUAAAUGUACAACCCGAGGUUCAAAGAAUAAUGAAUUGGAAUGUACAAAAACACGCGCAACCCGCAAAUGAUAACACAAGCAUCCAAGACUGUGACUUUGCUAAAGAUAUAAGGCUUGUCAAAAUUGGACAAACUUAUGUUAGGGUUGUAAAAUUCCAUUUUGAUAUCAAAAAGAUAAUACGUGUUUCCCAGCAUUUGCAAAAAUCGCCAACUUACAAUAAAAAAAAAUUAACACAAAUUUAUUCUAACUUCAAAGCCAAACCUUGUUUAUAUCAUCCAAAAGAGAAAAAUGAUCAAAAUCAUGAAUGUCUUAACCCAUUUUAUAAUUCUCUGGAUCCCAACAUGGAAAUUUCACCACGAAAUUGAAUUAAAUAAAAUUAUUGUUUCAUGAAAAAAUGUUCAUCUGACAUGGAAAAGUUUGUUUUUGUUUUAGAUAUUUUUUCUGUUUUUCAAGCCAUUUUUUGACCGAUCGCUUCUAAACGUUUUGAAAUGCUUCACCAAAUAAUGCUGUACAACAUAAUGGUUACAAUAUUUGUGUGCAACAAGAAUGGAAGAAAUCAUGUACAAUACAGUUUUUUGACAAUUCAAUUUUUGGAUAAAUCCAGUUAAGACUGUACUAUCAAUUCUAGUACUAUACUUAAACAAGUUUUGCUUUGGUGUGAAUAUUUGCCAACAAUCCAUAACAGAAGUUGCAAUGAACGGUGUAACAGUGGCAACGAAGUUGAGUUCUACACAGAGUUGGACAUUUUUGCUCAUGAAAUGAGUUAAAAGAAUUCACGACUUAUUAUUCACAAUGAGAAGAUUUAUUUUAACAAAUAUCUCUCUGUAAUUCAACAUGUACAUAAUUAUUGCUUAGAUAACAACAAAGUUAAGUUGGGGAGUUUCUCACUGAACAAGGAUUUUACAGCGAACUCAAAAUGCAAUUCUAAGACCAUUAAUGUAGAAAAAAAAUCUCUCCCACU